AUUGAACGCUGGCGGCAGGCCUAACACAUGCAAGUCGAACGAGUGGCGGACGGGUGAGUAAUGUCUGGGAAACUGCCUGAUGGAGGGGGAUAACUACUGGAAACGGUAGCUAAUACCGCAUACCAUCAGAUGUGCCCAGAUGGGAUUAGCUAGUUGGUGGGGUAACGGCUCACCAAGGCGACGAUCCCUAGCUGGUCUGAGAGGAUGACCAGCGACACUGGAACUGGGACACGGUCCAGACUCGUACGGGAGGCAGACGUGGGGAAUAUUGCACAAUGGGCGGAAGCCUAAUGCAGCCAUGCCGCGUGUAUGAAGAAGGCCUUAGGGUUGUAAAGUACUUUCAGCGGGGAGGCGUUACCCGCAGAGGAAGCACCGGCUAACUCCGUGCCAGCAGCCGCGGUAAUUC
rnacentral:rRNA from 1 species